CUCAAAACAGAACACUAGAGCUGGAAAUGACCUGAGAACACAGAAUGUUUCAGCUUGAAGGGACAGAAGAGAUCAUUUCAUCCAACUCUCUCUCUCCUCUCAAAUUUUACAAAUGAUAAAGAUAUAUGAAAUGGCCAAGGGCAUCCAAACCACCAGAGCUGAGACCAGAAACCACAUUUCCUAAGUUCCAGUCCUGGACAUUUGUUCCCUAUGUUACCAGAUCUAUGCCCACUACUACUAGACCUAUGCCCAAGAAAAGGAAAUAAGAAAUGGAAGGAGAGAGGAAGGAAGAAAAGAAGGGAAAGAAAUAUAACAGAAAUUUACAGAAGAGAAGGAAGAAACAGCUCAGGUCUGAGAAGUCAUGGGAAGUUUCUUGAAGAAGAAGGUGGCAUUGAAAUUAGAAUUUUACUGACUUGGAGAAUUCAAUAAAGCAGCUGAGGAAGACUUAAAAUAAUAAUGAUGCCGGAUAUUUCUAGAGCCAAAGACCCAGGAGAGCCUGAAGCACCUUUCCCCCGCAAGAGUAAGCUUAAUUGCCACAACAUGCAUGGCCCAGCAGCAAGAUCUUCGAAAGAACAGGGACCCUGCUGCCUGCACAUUGUACUAAUAUUAGUUACCUAUCAGCAGCCCUCCCCCAUCAGGGUCGAUGAAUUUACCCUGUUGCCUGGAGACCGGACUCAAACAGAGACCCAGAGAGAGCACCCAGGCGCUGGAUCCCAAGGGGUUAAGAAGGAAUCCUGGAGUGGAUAACUCCUGGAGCGGAUUACGGAGCUGAGUAACCCCAGCAAAGUGAAGCCUCAGCUAGAGCUGGAAAGACACAACAAGAAGAAGGCAGUGUCUGUGGACCCCCUCCCCAGGCAGGAUUUACCUCCUGUCCCAGUGCUCAGACUGCCUCCUGCUGUA
rnacentral:lncRNA from 1 species